rnacentral:rRNA from 1 species
GCCAGUAUCCACUGCAGUUCCCAGGUUGAGCCCAGGGAUUUCACAACGGACUUAAAUAACCACCUACGCACGCUUUACGCCCAGUAAUUCCGAGUAACGCUUGCACCCUUCGUAUUACCGCGGCUGCUGGCACGAAGUUAGCCGGUGCUUAUUCUUUGGGUACCGUCAUCCCAACCGGGUAUUAACCAGCUGGAUUUCUUUCCCAACAAAAGGGCUUUACAACCCGAAGGCCUUCUUCACCCACGCGGUAUGGCUGGAUCAGGCUUGCGCCCAUUGUCCAAUAUUCCCCACUGCUGCCUCCCGUAGGAGUCUGGACCGUGUCUCAGUUCCAGUGUGGCUGAUCAUCCUCUCAGACCAGCUACGGAUCGUCGCCUUGGUGGGCCUUUACCCCGCCAACUAGCUAAUCCGACAUCGGCUCAUU